rnacentral:snoRNA from 1 species
GUGCCGUGAUGCGUUUUUUCCAACACGUCAUUCUGAAACCCAAAGUGUGGUGGCUUUUCGACUGAGCACA